GACGAACGCUGGCGGCGUGCCUAAUACAUGCAAGUCGAGCGAGACUCUUCGGAGUCUAGCGGCGGACGGGUGAGUAACACGUGGGCAACCUGCCUGUAAGACUGGGAUAACACCGGGAAACCGGUGCUAAUACCGGAUAAUCCUUUUUCUCUCAUGAGGAAAAGCUGAAAGUCGGUUUCGGCUGACACUUACAGAUGGGCCCGCGGCGCAAUAGCUAGUUGGUGAGGUAACGGCCCACCAAGGCGACGAUGCGUAGCCGACCUGAGAGGGUGAUCGGCCACACUGGGACUGAGACACGGCCCAGACUCCUACGGGAGGCAGCAGUAGGGAAUCUUCCACAAUGGACGAAAGUCUGAUGGAGCAACGCCGCGUGAGCGAUGAAGGCCUUCGGGUCGUAAAGCUCUGUUGUUAGGGAAGAACAAGUACCGGAGUAACUGCCGGUACCUUGACGGUACCUAACCAGAAAGCCACGGCUAACUACGUGCCAGCCGCCGCGGUAA
rnacentral:rRNA from 1 species